rnacentral:misc_RNA from 1 species
UACGUAGGGGGCAAGCGUUGUCCGGAAUUCGUGGGCGUAAACCGCGCGCAGGCGGUCCUUUAAGUCUGAUGUGAAAUCUUGCGGCUUAACCGCAAGCGGUCAUUGGAAACUGGGGGACUUGAGUACAGAAGAGGAGAGCGGAAUUCCACGUGUAGCGGUGAAAUGCGCAGAUAUGUGGAGGAACACCAGUGGCGAAGGCGGCUAUCUGGUCUGUAACUGACACUGAGGUGCGAAAGCGUGGGUAGCAAACAGG